GGGGGAAGGGGUUAUCGUUCUGCUCACCCUGGGGUCUGGAGGAGGCCUUCAGCAAUUGUGUGUUGAAUGAAUGUGUGGGCAACAGGCUUGUUCCCUGUGUUUUUAUUGAAAUGUCUGCUUCCUGUGCUAGCGCCCCCACCCCCUUCUUAAAACACUGUCAUAGCACCUGCAUUCUUCCUUCUAACUCAUAUCAAUUGUAACUUAUUAUUUCCAUGACUAUCAUCAUGUCACGGUUUAGUGACUUCUGCCCCUUGAGGCCAUAAGCUCCUGGCAGGCAGGAACUGGGCACACAGUCACAUCCCCAACGCCAGAGGGCUGAGAGCUCAGCACAUAGUCUGACAGAUUAUGGCAUCUGAGGGCUCAGGAGCCUUACAGAUCCCAUCCCAUUCUUUUGAGGACUCCAUGGCCUGAAGAAGAGAGUGACUUACCUGAGGUCACACAGUCAGCUAGAAGCAAAGCGAAAUGAAAACAACUUUUCUAACACUUUUCUCCAAGGUCACAUCAUACACGACCCUGAGGAAGCCCCUUCUGAAUUCUGAGGUCUCUAAGCCUUGGGGAGCCUGUGGGGUGAUCCCAGGGAUCUCUUUCUCAGCAAUGAUGGUGAUGAGGAACUAAGUCUUUCCCCCUCACUUUAGGAUAAUGGAGUGAGCGGCGCUAAACUCGCACCGACAGAGCGGGCUCCCCCGGCCUUAAUGAGAUAAUCAAUACUUGUUCUCGGCUUAAUUUCCAUCUAAUUGCUCUUUAACGACGCCGGAUAAUGGGCCGCCUCCUGUGAGGAGAGAGCUGGCUGGGAAUCCGACCCGCCUCGGCCUCCCGCCCCUCCUCCCCCGGGCCGGUGCCCUCGCGCAGGUGGGAUGGGGGCGCACCACGCUCCCCGUCGGGGCUGGAGCUCCAUCCGCCAGCCUCCUCCCCCCGCGCCGCCGCCUGCCUGCGGUGUUCUCGGCUUGGAAUGCGGGAUCCCCGUCAAGCUGCCGGGGUCUGGCCUCUGGGCCACUCACCUGACUGGCCCGCGGAACUAGGCGGUGCCCUCGCCCCCUGACGGCGCCUCAUCCUCCCUGCUGCCCGCGGAGCCAGGCAAGUCGCGCGGAGCCCGGGGGCCGAGGUGAAGGGCCUCUGGACAAGCCCUUUCCUCCUUUCCCUUCCCACCUCCAUGCACUGCGCGGGGCGGUGGCCUUGAGGCCUUAGGUAAAUUGCUGUUUCUGCACCUAAGAAGGGCACCGAUCAUAUUUUUCUCUGUGAGGUAGCUGAGGAACCUGGCUGGUCAUCACAGACCACUUAAGCAAGGAGGGAAGAGGGGCAAGAAUGAAGAAGCCUGGAGUGGGACCCCAAGCCCCAUGGCUGGGAGGCUCAUGCUGCCCUCAGUUCAGAGAGCCUCCUGAUUUCCCCCCACCCCAACCACCCAGAGCCAGGAGAGUUCCUACCAACACCCACAGCUCAGAUGUUAUCCAUAACU
rnacentral:lncRNA from 1 species